rnacentral:rRNA from 1 species
CGGAGGAUCCAAGCGUUAUCCGGAUUUAUUGGUUUAAAGGGUGCGUAGGCGGCCUGUUAAGUCAGGGUGAAGACGGUGGCUCAACCAUCGCAGUGCCCUUGAUACUGAUGGGCUUGAAUGGACUAGAGGUAGGCGGAAUGUGACAAGUAGCGGUGAAAUGCAUAGAUAUGUCACAGAACACCGAUUGCGAAGGCAGCUUACUAUGGUCCUAUUGACGCUGAGGCACGAAAGCGUGGGAUCGAACAGGAUU